CCUACGGGAGGCAGCAGUGGGGAAUAUUGGACAAUGGGGGAAACCCUGAUCCAGCAAUGCCGCGUGAGUGAUGAAGGCCUUAGGGUCGUAAAGCUCUUUUACCAGGGAUGAUAAUGACAGUACCUGGAGAAUAAGCUCCGGCUAACUCCGUGCCAGCAGCCGCGGUAAUACGGAGGGAGCUAGCGUUGUUCGGAAUUACUGGGCGUAAAGCGCACGUAGGCGGUUACACAAGUCAGAGGUGAAAGCCCGGGGCUCAACCCCGGAGCUGCCUUUGAAACUGGGCGACUGGAAUCUUGGAGAGGCGAGUGGAAUUCCGAGUGUAGAGGUGAAAUUCGUAGAUAUUCGGAAGAACACCAGUGGCGAAGGCGACUCGCUGGACAAGUAUUGACGCUGAGGUGCGAAAGCUGGGGGGCAAACAGGAUUAGAUACCCUGGUAGUCCACGCCGUAAACGAUGAUAACUAGCUGUCCGGUCACUUGGUGACUGGGUGGCGCAGCUACGCAUUAAGUUAUCCGCCGUGGGUAGGUACGGUCGCGAGAGUAAACUACGAAAGAAGUAGUAAGGUCGUGAGAGUGCGAGGACGACGACGAGGAGAGG
rnacentral:rRNA from 1 species